GUUGGACCAAUUUUCCUGAUGCCAGAUGGCUCAGCAGACUUUUCAGAUGUUGCUACUCUGUUGUACAUACCAGCUUCAGUUGCUCCACACCCCAAAAGUACAUCCAGCUAGAAAGUGCAUGAAAAGGUCAUUAUUUCAUGGAUUCCUCAGGCAAAACUUCCUCCAUGAAGGAGUUUGACCCUUCCCCAGACUGAGAAGAGGGAGUGUUCCUUCAUUUUUGCCACGCUGGCUGCAGAAGAUCGGGUAGAGGGCUCCAUGACCCCAGCAGAUGUUAGAGCCACCAGAUGAAUGAAACCUCUGUGAAGGACUGUAAGGAUCAGACUCCUUGCCAUCUCCAUGGGACUAUGAUAUGAAAUAGGAGAAAACAAUGAAGAAGAGUAUCUUAGUUUCUGACACAAAGAAGAAGAUGCAGAUCUGUGGUUGGAAUGCUUGGGAUUUAAUUCCGAGGUGACACUUGAUCAAAUGUUCAGCACAGUUAGCUCUCGGACUUCCAGUACUAUACUGAACAACAGUGAUGGGAGUGGACAUCCUUGUCAUGUUCCUGAUCUCAAAGGAAAGACUGUCAGCUUUUCCCCAUUGAGGAUGAUAUUCGCUGUGGGUUUUUCAUAGAUUUUAUGAAGUUGAGGAAUAAAAUAUACAGUGGAAAAAAGAUAGUCUUUUCAAUAAAUGGUGCUGGGAAAAUUGCACAUCUAUAUGUAGAAGAAUGAAACUCGACCAUUCUGUUACCCCACACACAAAGAUAAACUCGAAAUGGAUAAAAGACCUCAUCGUGAGGCAGGAAUCUGUCAGAAUCCUAGAGGAGAACAUAGGCAGUAACCUCUUCGACAUUGGCCACAGCAACUUCUUUCAAGAUAUGUCUCCAAAGCAAAGGAAACAGAAGCGAAAAUGAACUUUUGGGACUUCAUCAAGAUCAAAAGCUUCUGCACAGCAAAGGAAACAGCCAACAAAACAAAGAGGCAACCCAUGGAAUGGGAGAAGAUACUCACAAAUGACACUCUAGACCAAGGGCUGAUAUCCAGGAUCUAUAAAGAACUCCUUAAACUCAACACACACAAAACAGAUAAUCAUGUCAAAAAAUGGGCAAAAGAUGUGGACACUUCUCCAAAGAAGACAUACAAAUGGCUAACAGACACAUGAUUAUCAUUAUCAUCAUCAUUAGCCAUUAGAAACAUUCAAAUCAAAACCACAUUGAGAUACCAACUUACACCAGUUAGAAUGACUAAAAUUAACAAGACAGUGAACAACAAGUGUUGGAGAGGAUGUGGAGAAAGGGGAACCCUCUUACACUGUUGGUGGGAAUGCAAGUUGCUGCAGCCACUUUGGAAAGCAGUGUGGAGAUUCCUUAAGUUACCGUAUGACCCUGCAAUUGCAGUUUACCCUGUAAAUACUAGAUAUUUAUCCCAAAGAUACAGAUGUAGUGAAAAGAAGGGCUACCUGUACCCCAGUGUUCAUAGCAGCAAUGGCCACAGUCACCAAACUGUGGAAAGAAUCAAGAUGCCCUUCAACAGACAAAUGGAUAAAGAAGAUAUGGUCCAUAUAGACAAUGUAGUAUUAUGCCUUUAUCAGAAAGGAUGAAUACCCAACUUUUGUAUCAACAUGGAUGGGACUGGAAGAGAUUAUGCUGAGUGAAAUAAGUCAAGCAGAGAGAGUCAAUUAUCAUAUGGUUUCACUUACUUAUGGAGCAUAAGGAAUAGCAUGGAAGACAAUGGGAGAUUGAGAAGAGAAGUGAGUUGGAAGAAAUUGGAGGCGGAGACAAACCAUGAGAGACUGUGGACUCUGAGAAACAAACUGAGGGUUUUGGAGGGAAGGUGGAGAGUGGGAUGAGCCUGGUGGUGAGUAUUAUGGAGGGCACAUGUUGCAUGGAGCACUGGGUAUGGUGCAUAAACAAUGAAUUUUGGAACACUGAAAAAAAUAAAAGAAAAAAAAGCAUAUGGAACUUAAGGAAAUACUUUAGUCAGGAUUGUGUUUCAGACCAAAGAACCCAGAAACCUGGAGGUGGGACCCAGGCCUGGGUAAUUUUUUUUUUUUAAGAUUUUAUUUAUUUAUUUGACAGAGAGAGAGAGAUCACAAGUAGGCAGAGAGAGAGGUGGAGGAGGAAGCAGGCUCCCUGCCAAGCAGAGAGCCCAAUGUGGGACUCGAUCCCAGGACCCUGAGAUCAUGACCCGAACUGAAGGCAGAGACUUAACCUACUGAGCCACCCGCACCUGACCUGGGUAAUUUUUUAAAAAAUUCCACAGGUAAUUUUAUUUGAUUAUUUUUUUAAAGAUUUUAUUUACUUAUUAGAGAGAGAGAGAGAGAGAGAGCGCGCACUAGCAGUGGGGAGGGACAGAGGCAGUGGGAGAGGGAUAAGCAGACACCCUGCUGAGCAGAGAGCCCAGUGGGUCUCCUUCCUAGGACACUGAGGUCAUGAGCUGAGCCAAAGGCAGAAAUUUAACCAACUGACCCACCCAGGUGCCCCUCUGUAGGUAUUUUUAAUGUGUAGCCAGGGUUAGGAAUCUUUGCUCACAUGAGAUCCUUUGGUGAGGGCGGGUUUGGGGGGGGUUGAAUGUAGGAGGCAGAAAUUCGUGUUUUAACACCCUUCCCAGACAUAUUUUUGAUACAUUCUGAUGCGGUAAUACUCCUGCCCAUUUUUUAACCAGGUUGAAAAUCUCCAGAUGAAAAUGUCCCAAAAGUUAAGACCUGGACAUGGCAUUCCCAAAAGUGAAAUGGUCGGGGACACAUAUCUAGAUUUCUUUUGUGAUUAUCAUUUUCUCCCCCCGCCCUCUACGCCCAUAAUUGUACAGGAGAAGGUCACAUAUCCAGUUGCAAGUUGGGAGCUGCAGUAAGAUAAAGGAGUUGAAAUAAACAUGGUUGAUUCCUUCUGUAUCCUCUUCUCCUGCCCCUUUACUCCUCCUUCUUCUGUACUUGCUGGUACCUGGACCAGAUGGAGAAACUCACUGGCAAAGACAGCCUCUAGCUCCCUGAGAACUUCUCAUAUCUGAGGCCUUUUGAUGUCAAUGACAUGAACUCCAGAAACAGGUCCUUGGAUGCGGGACAAAGAUCUCCAAAUUGGUACACAUAUUUUAUUGAUGAGUCCUAGUUCAUUAGCCUGUGCUGACUUAUAAAGAAGAAUCUUUGACUUGAACUUGAUCUCAUGGCCUCCAGU